rnacentral:RNase_P_RNA from 1 species
AAAGUAAGCCAUCUUAUCGCCUCCGAUUAAGUCGGAGGAGGAAAGUCCGGACACCAAAGAGUAGCAUAGCGGAUAACAUCCGUCAUUCCGUGAAAACGGAGAAGGACAAGUGCAACAGAAAGCAAGUACAGUUAGGCUGUAGUGAAACCAGGUAAACUCUAUGCGGUGCAAUGCUAUGUAUAUUGAAGUCCCUUUUGGGUAAGAACUACUCGUUCAAUUUCAAGGGGUAAGCAGCUAAAGUUGCAAAGUAAUUUGUAAUGUAGAUAAAUGAUAAGAGUC